rfam:Candidatus Gottesmanbacteria bacterium RIFCSPHIGHO2_01_FTLL_42_12 rifcsphigho2_01_scaffold_4681, whole genome shotgun sequence.
GCGCUCGUAGUUCACUGGUAGAAUGCUUCAUUGACAUUGAAGAGGUAGAAGGUCCGAUUCCUUCCGGGCGCA